rnacentral:rRNA from 1 species
GAUGAACGCUGGCGGCGUGCCUAAUACAUGCAAGUCGAGCGAACGGACGAGAAGCUUGCUUCUCUGAUGUUAGCGGCGGACGGGUGAGUAACACGUGGAUAACCUACCUAUAAGACUGGGAUAACUUCGGGAAACCGGAGCUAAUACCGGAUAAUAUUUUGAACCGCAGGGUUCAAAAGUGAAAGACGGUCUUGCUGUCACUUAUAGAUGGAUCCGCGCUGCAUUAGCUAGUUGGUAAGGUAACGGCUUACCAAGGCAACGAUGCAUAGCCGACCUGAGAGGGUGAUCGGCCACACUGGAACUGAGACACGGUCCAGACUCCUACGGGAGGCAGCAGUAGGGAAUCUUCCGCAAUGGGCGAAAGCCUGACGGAGCAACGCCGCGUGAGUGAUGAAGGUCUUCGGAUCGUAAAACUCUGUUAUUAGGGAAGAACAUAUGUGUAAGUAACUGUGCACAUCUUGACGGUACCUAAGCAGAAAGCCACGGCUAACUACGU